UACGGAGGGUGCAAGCGUUGUCCGGAUUUAUUGGGUUUAAAGGGUGCGUAGGCGGUCUUUUAAGUCAGUGGUGAAAUCCUCCAGCUCAACUGGAGAACUGCCAUUGAUACUGGAAGACUUGAGUAUAGUUGAGGUAGGCGGAAUUGACAGUGUAGCGGUGAAAUGCAUAGAUAUUGUCAAGAACCCCGAUUGCGAAGGCAGCUUACUAAACUAUAACUGACGCUGAGGCACGAAAGUGCGGGGAUCAAACAGG
rnacentral:rRNA from 2 species